rnacentral:rRNA from 1 species
GUUCCUACGGGGCGCAGCAGUGAGGGAUAUUGGUCAAUGGGCGGAAGCCUGAACCAGCCAAGUCGCGUGAGGGAAUAAGGCCCUACGGGUCGUAAACCUCUUUUGCCGGGGAGCAAGGGCGGGGACGUGUCCCGGCCCGGAGAGUACCCGGAGAAAAAGCAUCGGCUAACUCCGUGCCAGCAGCCGCGGUAAUACGGAGGAUGCGAGCGUUAUCCGGAUUUAUUGGGUUUAAAGGGUGCGUAGGCGGGCUUUUAAUUCAGCGGUCAAAAUUCGGGGCUCAACCCCGUCCGGCCUUUGCAACUGUG